rnacentral:rRNA from 1 species
UCGCGGCCUAUCAGCUUGUUGGCGGGGUAAACGGCCCACCAAGGCAACGACGGGUAGCUGGUUUGAGAGAACGAUCAGCCACACUGGAACUGAGACACGGUCCAGACUUCUACGGAAAGGCAGCAGUAGGGAAUCUUGCGCAAUGGGGGAAACCCUGACGCAGCGACGCCGCGUGCGGGAUGACGGCCCUAGUGGUUGUAAACCGCUUUCAGCAGGGAAGAAAAUGACGGUACCUGCAGAAGAAGGUGCGGCCAACUACGUGCCAGCAGCCGCGGUGACACGUAGGCACCAAGCGUUGUCCGGAUUUAUUGGGCGUAAAGAGCUCGUAGGCGGUUUAGUAAGUCGGGUGUGAAAACUCUGGGCUCAACCCAGAGACGCCACCCGAUACUGCUAUGACUUGAGUACGGUAGGGGAGCGGGGAAUUCCUGGUGUAGCGGUGAAAUGCGCAGAUAUCAGGAGGAACACCAGUGGCGAAGGCGCCGCUCUGGGCCGUAACUGACGCUGAGGAGCGAAAGCGUGGGUAGCAAACAGGAUUAGAUACCCUGGUAGUCCACGCCGUAAACGUUGGGCACUAGGUGUGGGUCUCAACCAACGAGAUCCGCGCCGUCGCUAACGCAU